GUUUGUGUGGGACGUCUGUGGUAUUAUGUAUGUGGCCUGCCUGUUAUGUAUGUGUGAGGGCUUUUUCGAUUGUUUAGUGUUUGUGUAUGGUCUGUGAUAUUAAGUGUCUGUAAGUGAAUUGCUUAUAAUAUUUGUGUAUAUGGUGGGGGGCUAUAUGUGGUGUUGCGCAUGUGGGUUAUUUGUGGUAUUGUGUUUGUAUUUGGUCUGUCUGAUGGGUCCGCCUCUGGCUGUGUGUGUAUAUGUGGGCUUUCUGUAGUGUUGUCUGUGAGGGUGUUUGUGGGAUUGUGUAUAUGUCAGCUGUCUGUGGUAUUGUGUGUAUUUUGUGUGUAGAGUGUUUAAAGGUGUGUUGUGGUGGGACUAUGUACUAAAGUAAAGCAAUUAUGAACUAAUUUUGUCCCCUCAUGUCUACCUUUAGCCAGGGGUGCAGGAAUGCUAUUGAGACCUUGGUGGUCUGCUGGUGGAUUUAGUUGUCUGCACCUUCCAAGGAUUCUGACCCUUACAGACUCUGGUGUGGCUCUUUGCGGAACAGAAGGGAGAGAUUCUUGUAGGUGCAGACCAAUGGUUCCCUUGGGCUCAGGCAGUGAGCCUUCCUGGGCUUGCUGCUUCACAUAACCCCACAAUGGGCCCAUUAGUUCUGGCAGCCGUGUGUGCUAUGCAAAGGCACCUGUGCAUUAUAAUCAAUCCUAUUGCAAGUCAUAAAAUGCAUGUUACAACAGCAAUUCCAAGCAUGAUGAAACAUUCACUCUUGAAGUACUUCAUUCUGGCCACAAG